GGGAAUCUUCCACAAUGGAGGAAAGCCUGAUGGAGCAACGCCACGUGAGUGAUGAAGGGUUUCGGCUCGUAAAACUCUGUUGUUGGAGAAGAACAGGUGUCAGAGUAACUGUUGACAUCUUGACGGUAUCCAACCAGAAAGCCACGGCUAACUACGUGCCAGCAGCCGCGGUAAUACGUAGGUGGCAAGCGUUGUCCGGAUUUAUUGGGCGUAAAGCGAGCGCAGGCAGUUUUUUAGGUCAGAUGUGAAAGCCUUCGGCUUAACCGGAGAAGUGCAUCGGAAACCGGGAGACUUGAGUGCAGAAGAGGACGGUGGAACUCCAUGUGUAGCGGUGAAAUGCGUAGAUAUAUGGAAGAACACCAGUGGCGAAGGCGGCUGUCUGGUCUGUAACUGACGCUGAGGCUCGAAAGCAUGGGUAGCG
rnacentral:rRNA from 1 species